rnacentral:lncRNA from 1 species
UCAGUGUUGUAAUGGUGAAUCAGGAUUUUUAAAUGAAGUGGGUUUGAAUACUCUUGACUGUUUUGUGAAAUCGAGUUACGUCUGUGAUUGAAGGAUUAAAAGGGUGUCUAUAGGAUUGAGUAUGCGGAGUGAAUGAAAUUUAUUGGGUUAAUCUAACAAGACAGUCAGUGGAUACAAGAUCGUAAGUACAAAGCAGUAUUGAAGGUUAACAGUUUGGGUUGUACGGGGUUCUCUGUAACGUCUAGAGACCUACCGGCUGGGCAAAAAGGACUUCGACAAGCAGUCGAAGAGCACCCGUAUAGAUUUACUAUACAUUGUUGCAGUCGUUUAUAUUCCAGCAGUCAAAAACUGAUAGACUGCGUGACUAUCGGUGAAUCUCCAUACUACCUUCAACAGCCAGACGCCUGGCACGUUCUCGAGCAGGAAAGCACGUAAUACGACAUAAGUGGUGAACCCGACAAGAAAGCUUGAGGUAGAAGGUAUUGGAUUUCGGUUGAUUUUAUCUUUAUUUUUAUGGAAAACGAAAAUAAAAUUGAUCAAUUUGAUGGGAGGAAUAUUUCAAGGUAUUUAAGAUGUUAUGUUCGUGAAAUGGAAUUAAAUCGGGUUUCUGAGAAGAAAAUGGUUGCACUAUUUGGACUUGCUACGAUACCGGAGAUAAGGGACCACAUUACAUCGAUUACGGAUCGUUGUGGGAAUUCAUGGGAGGAUUUUUCACAUGCAUUGAAAGACGAAUAUUUCUUGGAAGAUGCUGAUCGCGUUACUAAGAAGCUGUUUCUGGGAUGGAUUGAACGGCCCAAUAAGAAUUUGCAAGCAACAGAGCUACUAAGGGAAUUUGAGAGGCAGUACUCUCAAUUAUCGAAGGUAGAAAAAUUGACAUUGGAGCCGAACAAAGUUGAUCUAUUUCUUCAAGCUGCUGAUGGAGAAUUACAAGAGAAAUUAGAACCCCUUCUUGAAGACAAAGAAGAAGAUGAAGGAUUGACAACGAAGUGGAAGAACGUUGAAGAUGCAGUGGGGUUGCUUACAAAAAAAGAAAGGAGGAAGGAUAGGAGCAAUAUUCUGAAAACAGUACAAGCACCCAAAGCUCCAGUACGUACAACACCACCGACAAUGCCUACAGUUCAACCUUCGACAUCCUUGUCAAAGAAAGCAGAUAUGGGUAUGGAAGAAAUUAUACGAGGAAUGCGAGAUCUUCAAAUCAAAUUGGCAAGACUUGAAGAGAAUACUUCUAUAAAUAAUUCGAAGAAUGUUUCAAAACAAGGAUAUGUACAAAGAUGCAUUUGGUGUGAUGAUGCUUCACACACUAGAAAAGAUUGCAAUGAAUUUAAUAAUAUGAUACGGCAGGGAAUUAUUUGCUGGAAAGAUGGGAAGAUAGCAUUGAAAGAUAGGAAGGAUCUUCUUUAAACCAAUUUUGGCAAGGGAGGAAUGAGAGCAUUGGUUCAAGAUUACUUAAAAGCGCAUGAAACAGUAGCACGAGAAAGUGCAAGUUAUGGUGCUAGAGUAGAUGAUGAAAUUGGUGGAAGUACGGAAACUAGUGAGUUUUGGGCUUCUGCCGUUUCUACAAUGCAAGAAGGGAAAUUACCUCGAGAAGCGUUAUUGAGAACUGCAGCUAUAAUACGACGGAAGAACAGGUUGGGAGGAUCCCGUUGAGUCUCUUUCAGUUCAUGCAUAUAUUGCUAAGAGCCAACAUGAAGCUUUGAUGGAAGAAAAAAGACGAGGAAAUUUUGAUGAUACUAGAGAAGGAAAUUCUUUUAAAAGGCAAACUCGAGGAGACAAGGCUCGGGAGGCAGCUUCACAAGAAUUGCCUGUAAAGGAUACCUCAGCAUCAUUGGGAGAAAAAACAACGGAGACAAAAGAUAAGGGCAAAUCAAUUGCUUAUAAGCUACUUUCUGAAAUUGAAGCGGCAACAAAUUUGAAAGGGGUGUUGGAAGAACGUAUAUUAAACGCUAAGGUGGAAUUCACAUUGAAAGAAGUCUUGGGAAUUGCAAAGAAGGAGUUUCAUGAUGUUAUCAUUGACAGCAUUAAGCGAAAGAGGCAAUUAAUGAGCGAAACUGGAAUGAGUCAUGCUAUUGAUGCAAGAAUAUGUAGAGAUGAAGAAGAGGUUGAUAUUGGUUACAAGCAACCAACAAAUGAAAAGAAUGGGUAUAAUCAGUGAGUACGUUUCGAAGAUUCUAGUGACAAGGAAAUGGAAACUUUGAGCCAUUAUACUCGAAAGCAUUGGGCAAGGGCAACUACCGAGGUAUUGGUGAAGGUAGGAGAUAUAGAAGAACCAAUAGUUGCCUUGGUGGACCAUGGUUCUGAAAUAAAUCUCAUGUCUAAAGAUCUUUAUAAGAAGCAAAAAUGGCCAAUUGAUAUGGAACAUGGAUGGGCAAUAUGAGCAGCUAAUAACACACGAGGCGAAUUAUAUGGAGCUUGUCCAGAUGUCAAAAUUCGGAUUGGGGAUGUUGCUACGGAGCAACAUUUCUUCGUUCAAGAUACAACGUCUUAUCCGUUGAUUUUAGGACAACCUUAUAUCACGGCAACACGGAUGGAAACAAAGGUACUUGACGAUGGUUCUGCUUAUGCAAGGGUACGGAGCAAAGAUGGGAGGAAAGCUGUACAAUUUCUAACAGUACCUCCUAACCAUGAACGGAAUCGAGAUAGGUUGAGGGAGAAACUAUUGGUAAAGAUUGUUGAAGGAUUUAAGGAUUUUGGGGAGGUACCACUGUAAAGCGAGAUUAUGGAGGUAUAAAAGAGGAGGUACUCUCGUGAGAUGAAGGUGCCUUUGAUGCGAGUUUUAUUGGUAUAUUGGAGAAUGGAAAUAUUAUGUAUAAGAAAGUUGAUGAUUUUAAAAGAAAAGAAAGAAAAAGAUUAUAUGAUAUUGAAGGACAGUUACGCAAGAUAGGUACAUUGCAAGAUGAUGAGAGGAUUUUGGGUGUUUAUGAAGAAAAUAGGCUGGAAGAUUCAUUGGAAUUGAUUACAUCUAUUGGGUUAGGGGAUAAUGAUAAGAUUGUUGAGAUUCAUUCGAGAGAGGUUUAUAUCAUGCUUGAAUCUUUUCAAGCACCAGAAGUCACAGUAGAGACGAGAUAUAAAACGGCAGAUAAGAAGGUAAAGUCUGUUGCCGGACCAUUACCAGAGGAUUCUAAAGAACAAAUGGGAGAAGCAUCAAAAGAAGCAAGUUUAAGAGAUCCAAUGAGUAUUGGACAUCAGUUUACUGAAGAGACUUUUGAAGAAUUGAAGAUUGGUUCUGAUGGUUCUUUAUUGCCGGAGGAAAUUACUUGCUUCAAAAAGAUGUUGGCUAAACAAGGUAGAUCGUUUGCCUUCAAAUCUCAUGAAAUUGGGUGUGUGGAUCCAAAUAUUAUAACACCUAUGGUUAUCUUCACUGUACCGCAUGUACCUUGGAAUCUAAGACCGAUUCCAGUACCGAGGGCACAUUUACCUAAAUUGGUGGAACUAUUGAAAGAAAAGAUAAAGAUGAAAAUAUUAGAACCUUCAUUUGCGCCGUAUUCUAGUCGAUGAUUUACGGUACCUAAGAAGAAUGGGUCACUAUGGUUUAUUCAAGAUAUGCAGUCGGUGAAUGCUUUAACUGUCAGGAAUGCAGGAAUUGGACCUAUUGUGGAUGAAUUUGCUGAGGCGUUUGCUGGAAGGGUGAUCUAUUCAAUGGGUGAUUUGUAUUCAGGUUAUGAUCAAUUUCAACUUGUCGAAGGAAGUAGAGAUAUGACAACGAUGAGGACACCGCUUGGAUUGGUUAGAAUGUACACUCUUCCUCAAGGCGCGACCAACUCAGUUGCGCAUAUGAUGAAUGGGAUGAAUAAGGUAUUGAGAGAUUUUAUCCCGGAAAAGACUAUGCCUUUUCUGGAUGAUGUUCCUAUAAAAGGGUGUAGAGAAGGAGACAAGGAUGAAACUUUAGAUACGAGGGGGUGUCACAGAUAUGUUGUUGAUCAUAUACAAGAUUGUGAAAAGAUUUUAACUUGGCUUGGAGAAGUUCAUCUUACAUUAUCGGGUAUGAAGUCCGUAUUUGGAGUGCGAGAGGUUGUAAUUGUUGGACAUUUAUGCGGAUCUUACGGAAGAAAACGAGAUCCGACUAAAGUUGAUGCAAUUGGAAGGAUGAAAGAGGAUUGUGGUUCUUUAACAGAGGUUUGCAGGUUUUUGGGUGCAUGUGUAUUUUAUCGAAUCUGGAUCCCUCAUUUUGCUCACAUAGCGGAUCCAUUAUAUGAACUGUUACGCAAGGGUUAUCGAUUUGAAUGGGAAGAAAGGCAUAUUCAGGCAAUGCAAAGAUUGAAGAAAUUAUUGAUGUCACCUCCAAUAUUGAGGAAGGUUGAUUAUAAGUACAAUAGACCAGUGAUUCUUACUGUAGACGCUAGUCCAAUUACCGUUGGAUGGGCGGUGGAUCAAGAUGAUUCGAAUGGGAGUAGAUUUGCAGUUCGAUUUGGGGCUAAAGUUUUAAGUAUUCGUCAGCGUGCAUAUUCGCAAGUCAAAAGAGAACUUUGGGGAGUCGUUUCGGCUAUGAAAGCUGAAAAGGACUAUUUGAUUGGGGCAGUAGUAGUAAUUGAAACAGAUUGCUUGCCAUUGCUUGGAAUGAUUAUUAACUGUUCAACGCUAGAUAUUGCAAUGUUGAGAUGGAUUGCUUAUAUUAAGUCACUAAAUCCAGAAUUUAAGCAUAUCACUGGAAAGGACAAUUUAGUAGCAGACAUGCUAUCUCGAGCAAGAUACGAGAGGGAGGACGAAAUGGUUGAAGACAUUGAUGAUGUCGGAUUGAAAUUUUAUUCAAUAUCAAAUCUCAACAGAGAAGACAAGCUAUUUCUUGAAGAAUCUUAUGAAGGAGAAUUAUUGGAUAUUGGUCAUUAUUUGAAUACCUUGUCUAAGCAGGGGAAUUGGUCUACAGAAAAAUUCAAACAAAUAAGAAAAAAAGCAUAUGGAUUUGUACUUCGAGAUGGAUUCUUAUGGAAGAGACCGAAGAAAGGAAUUGGGAUGCCACAACGAGUGAUAGGCAAAAAAGAAGAAAAACUAAAAUUAUUAAAGGAGUUUCAUGAUAGUUUAUGGGCAGGGCAUAGAGGAAUCUGGGCUACUUUUGCUAAACUCAAGGAACGAUAUUGGUGGAAAAAUAUGUAUCGAGAUGUGCUCUCAUUUGUAGAGUCAUGUGAAAUCUGUCAAUCGUAUUCUAAUAUCCGACAUCGAGAUGGUCUUCAUCCUACGUAUCCUCUGGCUAUUCAUUUUAAAUGGGUUGUUGAUUUGGUUAUUAUGCCGGUUGGGUUAUGGCAGAUGAGAUAUUUGGUUUUAGCUCGUGAAGAUUUAUCAAAUCAAGUAGAAGGAAGAGCAUUGAGGACAAAAUCUACAGAGGAGAUUUGUAGGUUUUUGCUUGAAGAUGUCAUUUGCCGUUACGGGUGCGUAGGAAAAAUCACUGCAGAUCGUGGAGAAUUAAAUGCACAAGAAGCUCGUAAGUUCUUUGAAAGAUGUGGAGUUAAACUAUCACUGACUACUGCUUAUAAUCCGGAAGGGAAUGCGAAAAGCGAACGCGGUCACCCGCCGAUUGUGAAAGCAUUAGUUAAAGCUUGUAAUGGGAAGGUUAAAGAGUGGCCACAGCUUUUGUCAUUUGCAUUAUGGGCUGAUCGAACAACACAUAGUUCGGUGACAGGAUAUAUGCCAGUAGAACUUAUGACAGGUCAAAAACCAAUUAUGCCGAUUGAAGAAAAGGUACUUACUUGGAGUAUGCUACCAUGGGAAGAUGGAUUGACAAGAGAAGAACUUCUGGCUAUUAGGAUUCGACAAUUGGAGCAAAGAACGGAAGAUGUCCAGAUAGCAUUGGAAAGGUUAAAAAGAGCAAGGUUACAAAACAAGGCGCGAUUCGAUAUGCAACAUCGAUUGAGACCAAAAGCAAUCGAGGAAGGUGACUGGGUACUUGUUUAUGACAAUAGUCUGGAUAAUCAACAUAGUACUUUGCGGAAAUUUUCAAAACGUUGGUUUGGACCAUAUAUUGUAACAACUGUUCAUGAUAAUGCGACUUACUCAUUACGGGAGUUAGAUGGUACAAAAUUGAAAAUACCAAUUGCAGGGAAGAGAGUAAAAAUAUUUAAACGAAGACACGUAGAGAUGAAUAUGGAAGACCUUAAUGAAGGUACAGAGAUUCCGCAGCAAGAAGAUGAAAGUGAUAUGGAUAAUGAAGGUGACAAAGAAGAACUGGACAAAGACGUAGGGGAUAUAUUCUGAAUCAAACAGCAAUUGGGUAAAUUGGUGCAUACCGGAGGAUGCACAGGUUCAGAGGGGGUGGAUGUCGUGUUGUAACACGAGUAUACAGUGAAAAUAAAAAGAAAGGGGAAUUUUAUUAAUAUUCAGUUACCUCGAAUAUUGGGAGCAUCGACCAACUCCAGUAUAAAUACUGAGUGGUCAGGUUCAGUGACUCCGUUACAGUCAGCCGGGGCAUACUGAAAUGCCCCAUUCGAUUCCAAUAACGGGAGUCAGCAGGAAGAGAAGGACCAAUUCACACGACGGGUUCGAGGAGCCAAUUGGAUCCAAUUUCGAUAAUCCAAUCCGGGUCCUCUUACCCAAUAUGAGACUUGUAUUGGUGGGGCAACCCAAUGCAGUCUAGUUACGGGAAAUCCAGGUCUUACUACAGGUCUUAGCCAAUCUGACGCGAGGACCAAUUUGACCCAAUUACGGGAACAUCUAAGUUACUACGGGCAUCUUUACCAAUAUAGGACCUGAAUUGGUCGGGCGACUCAAUGUGGUCCCGAUUACGGGGUUCGAUUCUGUUUCAGGCUGUCCUGUUCUCUGUGUCGUCUCAGGGAACGUUGUUUUCGGUAAAUGGAUUUCUUAAAGGUAAAAACGGAGGAGAAAGCUUGGCGGCGAGAGCCAAUUUCAAAUCUAAGUUGAGGUGAGAGCCAAUUUCGGAUCCAAGCUUGAGGUGGGAGCCAAUUCCGGAUCUAAGACGGAAGAUUGAAGAAAUUCAGAGGAUAAGGUUAGGGGGGAUAUAGUUUUGGAGUGGUGUGGGUUUUUUUUUUAAGGAGAAAUCGGGGGGGAAGCGAGUUUUUCAAGCUUCUGCAAGGUUACCAGUUCGGUUUUCAUUAGAGGUUUUUUUUUGAAGAUCAAGGGAAUUAGAGAGAGGAGCUUCAUGCUUCGGGUCGGGGAAGGAAAGACAGAGAAUUUGGAUUUUCCUUCUUCGUGGAGUUUUGGGAAGACUGAGGCAAUCGCUGCUGAAGUCAGUGUUGUAAUGAUGAAUCAGGAUUUUUAAAUGAAGUGGGUUUGAAUACUCUUGACUGUUUUGUGAAAUCGAGUUACGUCUGUGAUUGAAGGAUUAAAAGGGUGUCUAUAGGAUUGAGUAUGCGGAGUGAAUGAAAUUUAUUGGGUUAAUCUAACAAGACAGUCAGUGGAUACAAGAUCGUAAGUACAAAGCAGUAUUGAAGGUUAACAGUUUGGGUUGUACGGGGUUCUCUGUAACGUCUAGAGACCUACCGGCUGGGCAAAAAGGACUUCGACAAGCAGUCGAAGAGCACCCGUAUAGAUUUACUAUACAUUGUUGCAGUCGUUUAUAUUCCAGCAGUCAAAAACUGAUAGACUGCGUGACUAUCGGCGAAUCUCCAUACUACCUUCUACAGCCAGACGCCCGGC